GGCGGCUACACAUGCAGUCGAGCGGUAGAGAGAAGCUUGCUUCUCUUGAGAGCGGCGGACGGGUGAGUAAUGCCUAGGAAUCUGCCUGGUAGUGGGGGAUAACGUCCGGAAACGGACGCUAAUACCGCAUACGUCCUACGGGAGAAAGCAGGGGACCUUCGGGCCUUGCGCUAUCAGAUGAGCCUAGGUCGGAUUAGCUAGUUGGUGGGGUAAUGGCUCACCAAGGCGACGAUCCGUAACUGGUCUGAGAGGAUGAUCAGUCACACUGGAACUGAGACACGGUCCAGACUCCUACGGGAGGCAGCAGUGGGGAAUAUUGGACAAUGGGCGAAAGCCUGAUCCAGCCAUGCCGCGUGUGUGAAGAAGGUCUUCGGAUUGUAAAGCACUUUAAGUUGGGAGGAAGGGCAGUAAAUUAAUACUUUGCUGUUUUGACGUUACCGACAGAAUAAGCACCGGCUAACUCUGUGCCAGCAGCCGCGGUAAUACAGAGGGUGCAAGCGUUAAUCGGAAUUACUGGGCGUAAAGCGCGCGUAGGUGGUUCGUUAAGUUGGAUGUGAAAUCCCCGGGCUCAACCUGGGAACUGCAUUCAAAACUGACGAGCUAGAGUAUGGUAGAGGGUGGUGGAAUUUCCUGUGUAGCGGUGAAAUGCGUAGAUAUAGGAAGGAACACCAGUGGCGAAGGCGACCACCUGGACUGAUACUGACACUGAGGUGCGAAAGCGUGGGGAGCAAACAGGAUUAGAUACCCUGGUAGUCCACGCCGUAAACGAUGUCAACUAGCCUUUGGGAGCCUUGAGCUCUUAGUGGCGCACCUAACGCAUUAAGUUGACCGCCUGGGGAGUACGGCCGCAAGGUUAAAACUCAAAUGAAUUGACCGGGGCCCGCACAAGCGGUGGAGCAUGUGGUUUAAUUCGAAGCAACGCGAAGAACCUUACCAGGCCUUGACAUCCAAUGAACUUUCUAGAGAUAGAUUGGUGCCUUCGGGAACAUUGAGACAGGUGCUGCAUGGCUGUCGUCACCUCCUGUCCUGAAAUGUUGGGUUAAUUCCCGUAACGAGCGCAACCCUUGUCCUUAGUUACCAGCACUUAAUGGUGGGCACUCUAAGGAGACUGCCGGUUACAAACCGGAAGAAGGGGGGGAUGACUUCAAUCAUCAUGGCCCUUAAGGCUGGGGUAC
rnacentral:rRNA from 1 species